UUGCCGCUGCAGGUGUCCAUCGCUCCUCCUGACCUAGCGCCGCCGGCCGCCACCAUGACGACCUCCCCCUUCGCAGCGCUGCACCGGCUCCUCGGCUGCCGCCUCGAUCUGCAGUGCGCGAUACCUCCUCAUCACCAAGAACGGAAGGUAUCCAUCUAUUCAUCCCACACCUAAAUUCCCCUCGUUUUGAGUCACACCCUAAAUUUCUAGCAUAACUGGAAGAUAAUUUUUGUGCUAGUACAACUUUGUUUCUAACAAAAGAAAAGAUUCGCCUAUGUACUGGAUGCUUCGUCUAUGUGCUUGAUGUUGCUUGCAUGUAGCGAUGCUAGUAGGUUAGAAUUAUCACAGUCCAUGCCUUUUGGAUUCAGUUUCAAAGAGUAAAUGCUGAUUACUUUCAGGAUUUUCCUUUUGGAUUUAGUUUAACAUUUACAUUUCUCAUGUGUUUUCUUUCCUUGCUUAUAUGAUAGUGUCGUAGUUGGCUCAAUUACCUUUGUCGAUAGAGAUCAGAUUAUGGUGUAAAAGGAAUGAAGUUCUGAUAGUUGUUCUCAAUUGAUCUGAACAGGAAAUACCUGCAUUUUUUAGUUACAGUUGUUUGGUUCUUCUUUCCUUUGGUUCCAAGAGUGUACAGGUUUGAAAAUGUGGCCUAGGAAGACCUUCCAUCUCCUUCAAUUUCUUGUUUUUGUCAUUCAGGGAGAAACCUGAAAAGCUGAAACAUAGUGUAUGGAUUCAAUCUUUGUUUUCGUGUUGAGUUCUACUGCUUCUUGCUGACACAAAUGGUACAUCAUGACUAUAUGAUGUUAAAGUGCAGAAUAUAAUCCAUUUUAUUAGUGCAGAUGCCAGAAGCUGCUGAGUGGAAUGAUGAGAACACUAGAUUUUAUAUAUCUGUGAACCCUCGCCGUGGCACGACACUCCUUGACAUUUCCCUUGUAGGUGCAGCAGCGCCGCCCAGUGCCCCACUGGGUACAAUGGUCACAUGCUUGUUAACUCGUCCCUCUGGUGGUUCACAAGUAGUUUCUCUUUUCUUUUCAAAAAUCUAUAUAGAUAUGCUAUAGAUUUUACUGACAGUGACCAGCUCAGCAAGCACGCAAAGGGGAGUUAGCAAAGCUUUUGUAGGAUCUAGAAGAAAUGGAUGGGGUUCAAUCCUGAUAAUUGAGAUGGUGGCAAAGCAUUCCACAUUCCUUAAGCAAAGUUUCAGGGCUCACAACAAGCAUGAAACAAGCCAAGAGCUGUACAACCUUUAGUUGAAGACUACUAUAAAACUAUAUAGCUCUCUUGUAGUUGUACGGAAAUUUAAUUAGAUUAUGUACAUACAUUUCCAAUUAUGUAACAAAUGAGUUAAAUUAUUUGCAUUUGAUCAAUAAAGAUUUGUUAAUAAUUUUCA